UACGUAGGGGGCAAGCGUUGUCCGGAUUUAUUGGGCGUAAAGAGCGUGUAGGCGGCCAGACAGGUCCGUUGUGAAAACUCGAGGCUCAACCUCGAGAUGUCGAUGGAAACCGUCUGGCUAGAGUCCGGAAGAGGAGUGUGGAAUUCCUGGUGUAGCGGUGAAAUGCGCAGAUAUCAGGAAGAACACCAACGGCGAAGGCAGCUCGCUGGGACGGAACUGACGCUAAGGCGCGAAAGCGUGGGGAGCGAACAGG
rnacentral:rRNA from 1 species